rnacentral:lncRNA from 1 species
UGAGUGAGAGAGUGCGGAUACAGCUGAUAAUAGUGGCAAAUAAUAAUUUGUUGGACUUAUUAACUACCCAUUUCAAAGAACUUUUUAUAAAAUAAUUCUCUGAAAUUUUAUAAUUUAUAAAAUAAUCUUAUCAAAUUCAUAUUUGGCAAACUAAUUUUCGAAACGUAGUGAAUCAUUCAUCGCAUUCUGAAGACUUCAAGGUCUUUUAAAGGUGGUGAAUCAUUCACAGUAUUUAUUAAGACGGUUAACGAUUCAUCGUUUUCUUCAUAAUUUUUUGAAAAGAGAAAAAAAAAAGUGAGACCGUUAAAAUUGUGCGUAAAUUAUACAGGAAAUAAAAAAAAAAAAGUGAGAUUGUUAGAAUUGUAUAUGGAUUAUUAGAAUUUUUGUUUGAUUAAUUAGAAUUGUAUGGAUAGAUUAUUAAGAUUUUUUUUUUAUUGUUAGAAUUGUAUGGAUAGAUUAUUAGGAUUUUUUAAAUUAUUAAGAUAUGUGAUUUUGAUUAUUAUGAUUGUAUGGAUAGAUUAUUAUAAUUUUUUUAAUUAUUAGGAUUAUAUAGAUAGAUUAUUAAAAUUUUUAUAUUGUUAAAAUUAUAUGUGAUUUGUUGGAAUAUUUAUAUAGUUGUUAGUAUUAUGUAUGGGAUAUAGAAAGAAAUAGUAAAUAAGUAAAAGAAGGUGAAUCAUUUACCGCUUUUGUGAGAAAUUAGGAAGGCGGUGAAUCGUUCACCGUCUUUAUGAAGGCGGUGAAUCAAUGAUUCACCGCCUUUAAGAGAAAAUUAUAAUGUAGCGCUCCUACAUAACAAAAAAAGGGUUAGUUUUCUAAAUAUAAAUUUAGUAGGGUAUUUUGCAAAUACCAAAAUUUUAGAGGAUUAUUUUAUAAAAAAGUCCAAUUUAGGUUAAGCUCUACUGUUAUUAUUAUUUAGGAUUAAUUGCAUAUAAGUCCAUACAAAUACAGUGAAUUAUAAAUAUAUAUUUUUAUAAAGUUCAACUUUCAUAUGUUGUCCCUACAAAAGUUUUAAUUAAUAUUUUCAAAUAUAUUCUUGAUGCUAGUUGUUAAAAUAUAAAUAGUUCUCUAACGAUAACAAAUGAAAGUUGAACUUUGUAGAGAUGUAUUUACAAUACACUAUGUUUGUAGGGACUUGUAUGCAUUUAACCUUAUUAUUUAUUAUUAUUAUUAGGGUGUUUAAUCCUUAUAUUUUCAAUCACUAAUAUUUUUUAUCUGAUGUGGAACUAUUAGGGUGUUAUAAACUCUCUGUUUAGACCAUCUAAUGUGAGACUANUAUAGAUGCAGGUAAAUAAAACAGUAGCUACAAUAAACAGAUAAGGAUGUACUGAAAAUAAACACUACAGCUACUGUAUGCAUGCGUCAACUGACGAU